rnacentral:lncRNA from 1 species
UUUCCUUCCUCUCUUGCUGUGUGAGGUCUGCACCGGAGUAGAAGGAUCAUGAGGCCCUCACCACAUGCCCAAUGAUCCAGCCAGCAAAAUCGAUUUUGCUUAUUGAUCUCUAUAUAUGUGUAUAUGUCAAAUAUAUGUGUAUUUAUUGUUCUAAUCACACUUUGGGCCCUGGCCAUGCUGCUCCUGUGAGGAAAAGAAGAAAAGGGAAAAGGAAAAUAAGAAGUAAACAUCCAU